rnacentral:lncRNA from 1 species
UUUAGAUUGGUGAAUAGAGUGAUUCAUGCUGUGUGUGGUGGUGGUGGGGAAGUGGCAGUCUUUAAAAGCUCUUUUGUGUUAGCCUCUGGGUGAACAGAGAUAUACGUACAUUUGCACACUGAGCAUACGACACUUUCAUAUUCUAGACCUGCACGAAUCAUCUUUAUAAGCAACCAGAGGAAGAUGAUGGUGAAGAGGUGCCAGAAUUUCAGGUGUCUGGGAAAAUCGGAGCAAAGAAACAGAGGAAAUUAGAAGAGAAACAAGCCAGAAAAGCGCAGAGAGAGGCUGAAGAAGCAGAGCGAGAAGAACGGAAAAAACUUGAGUCAAAGAGAGAGGAGGAAAGGCGGAAAGAAGAGGAGAGAAUACGUCUUGAAGAAGAACGACAGGUGGGAUUGGUUGUAACUUGUAGAUGGAAAUUUUGAACCAAAUUUGACUUUGUAACAUUACUUUUC